CCCCCUGGAAUCUGUUCGAGUCUGGCCCGGAGGAGCGAGUGUGAGGAACGCACUUCCCACUGGGCAGAGCUCUGAGGUGUCACGGGCCAGCGCGCCCCGCUGGGCUCUUCAGCGACCUGGCCCCCGAACUCGGUAGGGGCUUAACCUGCCGGGGCCGACCACGUGAUUCGCCCCGCCGCCCCGCUGGCCGGCGCUGGGCAGAGCCUGACAGCGGCCACCCUGGAACAUGUGGAGUGGUGGAAGACACCGAUUGGCCAGGUCCCGGUCAUGUGACCAUACGCUCUAGAGCAUGUGUGAGCUGCUCCUGGUGGGUCAGCGGUGGAGAUAGCAGCAGCACACCUCACUGGAGCCUGGACCAGAGAGAAGGUUCUUGCCAGAUGUGGAAAGCCUCGGCAGGCCACACUGUGUCCAUCAACCGGGACGACGGGGGAGCCGACAACUGGGAGUACCGACCCUGAUUUCGUGAAUGACGUAAGUGAAAAAGAGCAGAGAUGGGGGGCCAAGGCCGUGCCAGGAUCUGGGCACCAGGAGCACAUCACGGUCGUCCGGGUGCAAUCCUGUUGACUUUGUCUCCCAUUUGCGUCUGGUGAUGUUUACGGAGCUGGCUCUCCCACUUCAUGUCUGGUGAACCCCGAGGAGCUGUCCUCCAUGUGGUGGAAUGCUGUCCACAUCGUAGCCCCAGUAUCCACAAGCUGUGGGAGAAUGUGUUUCAAGAACACCAGACCCUCAGGGAGAAAGAGCUGGAAAUGGGACCCAAAGCCUCUCCUGGCUACAGAGGGAAGUUUGGCGUGGAGCAGGACAGGAUGGACAAGUUCUCCCUGACUUCUUGGUGAUGAAGAGUCACGCUGGCGGAUCCUUUGGGCAUGCUGCUGCCUCCAUGUUACCUUGCUGAUGUUUUCUGGGUGAGACCCCUGAAGCUGCAGAUGGGUAGUCUCUGCCACAGGUGUUUGGAGGCCACGGUGCUCCUGAUCGGCUAUUGGCUGUGGUCAUCGAAUCCAGCCUGGGAGGGAGAGAAAGUAACAGCUCCAGACUGGAAAGUAAAUCCUGCUUUGCUCCCCGGCUGUGGAAGAACGCGCGCCCUGAGCUGCCUGCAGAGUUAUCAGAGGUGGUGGUGACCCUGUGGGGGUUGGACCCUAAACGCUGCUGCUGAAGUUCCGGUUAAACAAGCAGGAGAGGAGUUGGUAGUGCGCUGGCAGGCCCCUCACUGUAUUGAAGGAGGGGGCCAAGGUGGUGGUGAUUCCCUGGGGAGGAGCUAGGCUGGACGAGCCGCCUCCUCUCCCGGCAUUGGGUCAUGCGUCAGUCAUCUGUCCUGCAUCCUCAGUGUCCAUAAAGAGGACCGUGACCACUCUCCAUUCUGCCGAGGGCGCCUGCUGCCUUACUCUGAGGGUCACGCCUGGGCGACUGGAGCAGUACGGGGCCGCUCAGUGUUCAGGGUGUAAAUAUUUUUAGCUUCCCGGCCACCACAGGGUCUCUGGUGGCUCCUGAAGUACCUGUAUUGUCUUGACACGAAGUUAGAUAUAGAUUUUCUGUAAAUGAACAAUGUUCAGAAACACCUGUAUGUUCUUUGUAUGUUAUUUACAAAGAACCUAAGUGCUGGAUGUGGGCCAUGGGCCAUGGCUUGCUGACCACACAGCGGGAGCUCGGGGUGGACUGCUCGGUGUGCAUGUGGCCUUGAGAGGUCACCAGACCCGCUUCCCUGACUGGGGGGUGGCGGGACGGUGGCAGGCCCCACUGCUCACCUGGGCGGGCUGGGUAUGUGGCAGGUGUUGACACUGAACGGGCGGUGUGCCUGAAGCAUGCCAUCUGUAUUGCAGUUUGUGCCCUGAUUUCUGGGCCACGUGCUUUGACAGUGUCCCACCUGAAAAGGGUGAUCACUGCCAGCAGUCUUCUUGGAAGUGGGCUUAGGAGUCGCUGGCAGGCUGCUGGCUCUGUGGUUCUGGUUGGGGCUGGCUUCCUGGUUCUUCACACCCAGGCACCUCAGAAGGCCCCCUGUGGCUGGGGUUCUUGGGAGACUUCUGGGGAGCCUGGUGUGGAGAGGGUUCAAACACCUGACUGGGGGGCCCUGGUGUUGUGAUGCCCCAUGGAGUUACCUCCCUCUGGGCCGGCUUCCACGUUGAGUGAUUUUGUUUGCGUCACCCAUGCCGACCAGAAGUGCAGGCUGCCUCAGGGUCGGGGGGCGCGUCCAGUGUGGCCAUGCUGGUGGGUGUCUGAUGCUUCACUUUUGCCCCUGUUUCAGUCAGCUGUUGGCCAUGAGUAUCAGUCAAAGCUCUCCAAGUGCUGCUUGCAGGUUGACUCCAUCUGGGGGUUUGGAGGCAAGUUUGGUGUCCAGUUGGACAGAGUGGACCAGAAACAUAUUCUAGGAAAUUAAGUAGGAGCUGGGCGAUGAUUGUUUUCUCCAGAACAGUGACAAGUGUUUGGAAACGGCCUCAGUGCUAUCAGUGAGUGGUGAGGUGCAAUCUGUGGACACCCCACAAGGAACAGCCCUCCCCCUCCUUCCUGCCACCUUCAGCAGCCGCCGCCCCAGGACUGACUCGUCUGUGUGUGUGUUUCCAGUUUACCCGCACUAAUGCUACAGAGUGAAGCGAUUUAAAAGUACUGGGUGUUGAAUGUGAGCUUCUAGUGAAGCUUGGGCUGAAAGCAUGGCUAGAAGACGACUAUGACAAUCUCUCCCGUGACCUGGUCUCUGAGGACCCAGGUCCCUCUCUCCACUGAGACUCUUCGGGGACCAGUCGCAAUGCGCUGCACCCGCUGCAGAGCCGGUGCGCUGGACGGUGAAGGAGCCACGUCCGGACAGACAGACAGCGUAGAGCAGCUCUGACAAAGGCUUUAGUUUUCUUAUGUAAAGCAUCUUUUUAUAUCUGUAAACAUGUUUAAAGAAUGGACCUAGGCGUACAUUUGUAGAUUUUGAUGACAUAGCCAUUUUGGAUUGUAUAAGCAGCAAAUGUAACUUUUACUUUUCCAGGAGCACAUUACAAAAGCCAGCAAGAGAUGCGUUCAGAUCACAGUGCGUUAUUUAUUAUGCAGUGAUGUCUCAGUAGACAGAGACGGCAUGUCUCUUUACAUGUGGGCUCCACCUUUAAUUUACUUGUACAAUUCAUUGUUACCAUUCUGUUUUUCUACUAAUCUUUGGUGAACUUCCUGAAUAUGUGACAAAGUACGUACAGUCUACUUUUGAACUAUUUUUAUCACAGUAUUAUUUAUUGCUUUCUUUCAAUAAAGUACUGAAGGAAAAUUUC